UCUAUUAUGCUUAAUAGGGAAUCAGGUGAAAAUCCUGAACAGUCCCGCUGCUGUGAGUUUCAAUGCCUGUGGCAUAAAUAUCAUCGGCAACCUUAAGCCACUGAAUCCUUUUUACGGUUCGGGAAGGCGGCGAUGAUAGGAACGAGUCAGAAGACCUGCCAAUUUUAUUA
rnacentral:ncRNA from 1 species